rnacentral:RNase_P_RNA from 1 species
AACGCAAAAUGUUCUAUCGCUGCCUUUAAACAGGCGGAGGAAAGUCCGGGCAACAUAGAGCAUCCUGCUUCCUAACGGGAAGGCGCCACGCAGCGGGCGACAGCAAGUGCCACAGAGAAUAUACCGCCGGCCCGCCGGUAAGGGUGAAAACGUGAGGUAAGAGCUCACGGCUUGCAUGGGCGACCAUGUUUGCGGUAAACCUCAGGAGUUGAAAAGCCAAAUAGGUUACAGUAAUAGAGUUGCUCGCUUUGUAUACUCAGGUAUAACUGUAAUGGGUAGGCUGUUAGAGCCUGUUAGCAAUAACAAGCCAAGAUUAAUGAUAGAAACUGUUGAAAGACAGCACAAAACCCGGCUUAUAAUUUUGCAGCUGUA